UGAUCUUGGCUCACUGCAACCUCCACCUCUCAGGCUCAAGUGAUUCUCCUGCCUCAGCCUUCCAAGUAGCUGGGGCUACAGGUGCACGCCGCCAUGCCCAGCUAAUUUUUGUAUUUUUAGUAGAGAUGGGAUUUCACCAUGUUGGCCAGGAUGGUCUCGAUCUCUUGACCUCGUGAUCUGCUCUCCUUGGCUCCUCAAAGUGCUGGGAUUACAGGCAUGAGCCACUGCACCUGGCCAGUUUUAUUAAUUUUUAAAGUGUGGACUUUUAGUUUAUGACUACUAGCAUUGUCAUUAUUAUUAUUGUUGUUGUUGUUGUUGUUGUUUUCAGCCUGCAGAUAGCUCUUAUCUGACCCCUAGCUGAUUUGAAUUAUAUAUCAGACUAGGAAAGCAAUGGCGAAAUCUUCAUCUAAAUCUUUACCUACUUUAGAUAAGUGACCUCAGCACAGUUUCUUGGCCAUCAAAGGACUAUGAGUUAGCAACUUGUAUUAUGUCAUACCCCAGUGGGACAAGAGGCUUCCUUGUUGUCCUUUUCUUUCAGCCUUGGUGAUAAUUUACAAAGAUGAACACUUGAGCACCCUAGAUGCUUAUAGACCCAAGCUAGUACAUGCAAAAUGUUAUUAUGUCUACACUGACAGGUGGAUAUUAAAUUGGUAAAGUGUAUCAAACUAGCUGUUUAAAAAAGUCUCUAUUAAAGUUCUUGAGUGGAGUGAUUUCUUUGUUAUUUUAGAACAGCCCUCAUGCUUGCUGUGCACUAUGACUCACUGGGUAUUGUCAACAUCCUUCUUAAGCAAAGUAUUAAUGUCUUUACUCAAGACAUGUGUGGACGAGAUGCAGAAGAUUACGCUAUUUCUUGCCGUUUGACAAAAAUUCAACAACAAAUUUUGGAGCAUAAAAAGAUGAUACUUAAAAAUGACAAACCAGAUGUUGGAAGUUCUGAUGAAUCUGCAGUCAGCAUUUUCCAUGAACUGUGUGUGGAUUCAUUGUCUGCAUUGGAUGACGAACUCUUGAGUGUUGCUGCUAAGGCUGGAGGGCACUGGUGAAAUCUUGGCUCACUCCGAUCUCCAUUUCCUGGGCUCAGGAGAUCCUCACACUUCAGCCAUCCAAGUAGUUGAAACAAUAGAGGUAUGUCACCAUAGACCUGUGUCACCAUGCUCGGCUGAGUUUUGUAGAGACAGGGUUUUGCCUUGUUGCCGA
rnacentral:lncRNA from 1 species